CUGAACUCCAGCAGAAUGGACCUGCGGGGCUGACUCCCAGGCUUAACUUCCACUGCAGAGUCGCGUGGCUUCCACAGCUGUUGAUGCACCAAGUCCUCCUGGCAGGGCUUCAAAGGAACCGAAACGUGGAACAGAUGCUCAGAGCAGCAGCAGCAGCAGCAGAAUCCCCAUCCCUGAGCCUCUGUGGUCACAUGGCAAUUUAAGGCCACAAGCAGCUUCGGCCCAGGUCAGCAGGAACGGCUGAGCCUUUGCUCAUUCGCAAGCUGCAGAAACCCCCAGCUGUGCUCUCCUCUCCAGGACCAGGCUAUGCUGGGAGCGAGUGCACAGAGCUGACACUGCAGAGCCGGCUCAGAGGGAAAGAGGAAGCCAUUGCACCAUGACUCUUACUGCUGAGAGGAGCUUGGAUUCAAAGCCCUCGGGGCAAGUCUCUGGGCUGCGAAGGGUUUGGUUAGAGGCUGCUGGCUUUUCCCACCCUCAGCUGGGCACAGCCCCUCAGGGCACAGGCAUGGCCUUCUCCGCCGGCAGGUUCAGGGGUCAGUGUGGAGAAACCUGGCAAAGUUUUCAUGCUUUUCCCAAGCCAUCUGGCCUGGAGCGCUAAUGCCCCAGGCUCCUGCGACGUUCCCAGGACAUCCCAUCUCCGAGGGCUCAUCAGCUGCCAUGGCUAACUAGGAGAUGCAGAGCUAUAAAUGGGGUGGGGAGGAAGAGACGUGCCAACCCUCUCCAUUAACGAACCCUCCCCAAAUAUGGCUGGGUUCAAGCUUUGGGCUGGUUCUUGGCUGAAUCCAAAGCAGCUCAGCUCACGCCGCUGGCAGCUCCGGAGGUGCAGCUGCGGCCCAGGGCACAUUCUGCUCCGCAGAGCUAUGUGGGGCUGGCAAGGAGCUGUGUAAACGAAGAAGAUUAACACUGGGAUUGAAGUGGGCGUGAAAAAUGACUCCCGUUUUGAAGGGAUAAAGCUGCUUUUUUCUGCCGGGCUCUGGGACCAUGGAAGUGGCUUCAAACUUUAAUCCCUUCCGCCUGAUCCUUCUCAUUAGACAUAAUGUCAUUAACGGGACGGAGAGGAGCUGCAAAGCUGUUUGUGCUCCAGGGUCACAUAGAAGAACAACAGGGCACCAACUGACGCUAAGGCAGGCCAGCCCGCAAAGGAAUUUAGGGGGGAUUUUACACACAGAGGAGUCCCUACAUGCACAGGGAAUGCACCACUGAGGGCGGCAGCAGCAGCAGCUAGUGCCAGGAGCUAAACAGAUAGCGGACGCGGGUGUAAUUCAGAAGGAUGCGUGUGGC